GUACACUCUCCCUCGUUUUUCUCUCUUUCUUCUGAGACAAACUCUGUCCCUUGUUCUCUCUCUUCUGAGACGUACUCUCUUCCUCGUUCUCUCUCUCUUCUGAGAUGUGCUUUCCUCCUUAUUUCUCUCUCUCUCCUGCUAUUUUAUUCCCCAAUCUCCCUCCCUCUGAUGCUCCCUUUCUCCUUUUCCCUAAUUUUUUCUCUCUUUUCUCUUGCUUCCUGUUUCUCUAUCUUUACCCCCGUCUCUGUCUCUGCCUCCGCAUCUCUUUCUCUAUAUUUAACAAUUCCAGCCAAUCAAGACGAUGCCCUAGGAGCAGAGAAGAGAGGGGUGUAAUUUAAUUGGCUGUUGAGCUCAAAUAUCAACAACCUUUGGACAGAAUUGCGGACACUAACUUUAAGUAAUUCUUUGAUUUUGAAAGAAGCAUCCUUGGGGUGAGUGCUCUUUGCGCCCCCCUCUGGUUCCGUGACGCGUGACAGCUGGGCCUUUCUGUAGUUGAGUAAGCGGGUGAGGUUGUUGGCGGCGGCGGUUGAUGUGACACUCCUCUUGUACCAGUCUGGACGCCUUCUUUGAUGUUUGUUCGACGGCCUAAAGGUCCUCUUCUCUCUGUCCUCCUCGUCCUCCUCUUCUUCCUCGGAUGAGUCUCCUUCACGCUUGUGAAGCCGCCUUCUUUGAUGUUUGUUCGACGGCCUAAAGGUCCUCUUCUCUCUGUCCUCCCUGUCCUCCUCUACUUCCUCGGACGAGUCUCCUCCACGCUUGUGAAGCCGCCUUCUUUGAUGUUUGUUCGACGGCCUAAAGGUCCUCUUCUCUCUGUCCUCCUCGUCCUCCUCUUGUUCAUCGGACGAGUCUCCUUCACGCUUGUGAAGCCGCCUUCUUUGAUGUUUGUUCGACGGCCUGAAGGUCCUCUUCUCUCUGUCCUCCUCGUCUUCCUCUUCUUCCUCGGACGAGUCUCCUUCACGCUUGUGAAGCCGCCUUCUUUGAUGUUUGUUCGACGGCCUGAAGGUCCUCUUCUCUCUGUCCUCCUCGUCUUCCUCUUCUUCCUCGGACGAGUCUCCUUCACGCUUGUGAAGCCGCCUUCUUUGAUGUUUGUUCGACGGCCUGAAGGUCCUCUUCUCUCUGUCCUCCUCGUCUUCCUCUUCUUCCUCGGACGAGUCUCCUUCACGCUUGUGAAGCCGCCUUCUUUGAUGUUUGUUCGAUGGCCUAAAGGUCCUCUUCUCUCUGUCCUCCUCGUCCUCCUCAACUUCCUCGGACGAGUCUCCUUCACGCUUGUGAAGCCGCCUUCUUUGAUGUUUGUUCGACGGCCUAAAGGUCCUCUUCUCUCUGUCCUCCUCGUCCUCCUCUUGUUCCUCGGACGAGUCUCCUUCACGCUUGUGAAGCCGCCUUCUUUGAUGUUUGUUCGACGGCCUAAAGGUCCUCUUCUCUCUGUCCUCCUCGUUCUCCUCUUCUUCCUUGGACGAGUCUCCUUCACGCUUGUGAUACUUUCUUUGAUAUUUGCGCGCAAACCCAGGCCUGAAGGACCUCUUCUCUCUGCCCUCCCCUUCCUCACGUUUCUCCUUCUCUGACGGAAAGAGGUGCCUUUUCCUCUGGUACUGAGGAAACUCCUCCUGGCUUCGUUCCUCGUCCGUCUCUUCGUACUUCUCCUCGUUCUCCUUAAGGAGGUCUCGGAUGGCCUCCAGCUCUGAUUCUUCUUUGGCUCCUUCCCCCUCUAGUGGCGGCACCUCCUCUCCACUCUUCUUCACUGGAGCCUCAUGAUUGGAGCCUGGAGAGAUGGGAGAAAGACAGGUGCAUGUCAGAAAUGGCCAAAU
ensembl:lncRNA